rnacentral:rRNA from 1 species
GACGAACGCUGGCGGCGUGCUUAACACAUGCAAGUCGAACGGAAAGGCCCUGCUUUUGUGGGGUGCUCGAGUGGCGAACGGGUGAGUAACACGUGAGUAACCUGCCCUUGACUUUGGGAUAACUUCAGGAAACUGGGGCUAAUACCGGAUAGGAGCUCCUGCUGCAUGGUGGGGGUUGGAAAGUUUCGGCGGUUGGGGAUGGACUCGCGGCUUAUCAGCUUGUUGGUGGGGUAGUGGCUUACCAAGGCUUUGACGGGUAGCCGGCCUGAGAGGGUGACCGGCCACAUUGGGACUGAGAUACGGCCCAGACUCGUACGGGAGGCAGCAGUGGGGAAUAUUGCACAAUGGGAGGAAGCCUGAUGCAGCAACGCCGCGUGCGGGAUGACGGCCUUCGGGUUGUAAACCGCUUUCGCCUGUGACGCAGCGUGAGUGACGGUAAUGGGUAAAGAAGCACCGGCUAACUACGUG